rnacentral:tRNA from 1 species
GCCCGGCUAGCUCAGUUGGUAGAACAUUAGAUUCUUAAUCUCAGGCUCGUGGGUUUCGAGCCCCAUGUUGGGCG